rnacentral:rRNA from 1 species
GACGAACGCUGGCGGCGUGCCUAAUACAUGCAAGUAGGACGCUGAAGAGAGGAGCUUGCUCUUCUUGGAUGAGUUGCGAACGGGUGAGUAACGCGUAGGUAACCUGCCUUGUAGCGGGGGAUAACUAUUGGAAACGAUAGCUAAUACCGCAUAACAAUGGAUGACACAUGUCAUUUAUUUGAAAGGGGCAAUUGCUCCACUACAAGAUGGACCUGUGUUGUAUUAGCUAGUAGGUGAGGUAACGGCUCACCUAGGCGACGAUACAUAGCCGACCUGAGAGGGUGAUCGGCCACACUGGGACUGAGACACGGCCCAGACUCCUACGGGAGGCAGCAGUAGGGAAUCUUCGGCAAUGGGGGCAACCCUGACCGAGCAACGCCGCGUGAGUGAAGAAGGUUUUCGGAUCGUAAAGCUCUGUUGUAAGUCAAGAACGAGUGUGAGAGUGGAAAGUUCACACUGUGACGGUAGCUUACCAGAAAGGGACGGCUAACUACGUG